AAACUUUCAACAACGGAUCUCUUGGUUCCGGCAUCGAUGAAGAACGCAGCGAACUGCGAUACGUAAUGUGAAUUGCAAAUUCAGUGAAUCAUCGAGUCUUUGAACGCACAUUGCGCCCCCUGGUAUUCCGGGGGGCAUGCCUGUCCGAGCGUCAUU
rnacentral:rRNA from 1 species